GGAACUUUGUAAAGGAAGAGCAGCCCAGCUUCAGAUGAGAUUGGAGGGGUGGGCAAAUGGGCAUGUUUUUAACACGUAAAAAAGCUUGGUUUUAUCCCAAGAAUGAUGAGCAGUCUGUAAAGGGCUUAAUUACGGCAGGAAACACCAUAUUAUUAGUGUUUUAAGAAGGUGACACUGGCUAUUUGUUUAGGUGGCAUUUGUAUUGUAGUGGGUAACAGUGAAUGUGGAUUGCUUGGUUUACAGAACUGAAAGGCUUGGCCACUCAAAGGCCAUCUCAAAGACCCUAUCUAUGAGGAAGAAGAAAAGAAGUAGAAAGAGGAAGAGAAGAAGGAAAAAAAAUAAAGAAUAGGGAAGAGGAAGAAAAAGACAAAGAGACUCAAGCCCUAUCCUAAGUUUGUUUUGUUUUAUUUUCAAAGCAAUAUGUGAUAGCAGGUCUCAGAGUUAGGAGGAAGUGCCGUAUAAUGGAAAGAACACAGGCUAAGAAGCAAAGUUUAAUUUAUAUCUUAUUUGCUUUAUGACCUUCAGGAAGUAAUUUAACCUCUCUAAUUCUCAUUUUCCUCAUUUCCAAAAUGAAACAACUAAAAUUUACUUUUCAAAACUAUUGUAAAUAUUGAAGAUGAGGUCUAUAAAGAAGCUGGUGAUAAUUGUUUAAACAGGCUCUUAUAAUCAAAACAAGGUAAUUCCUUGGUACUUAUUAUAACAGAACCUGAUUCACAUAAUCUCUCUCUCUCUCUCUCUCUCACACACGCACACACACACACACACACUUUAACUUUUAGCAUGCAUAAAAAAUUAGAAGAUAUAGGUAAAUAAAAUUUGACUUCAGUAGGCUUUUGCUAUUUCAUGAUUUCUCUCCAAUCCAGUAUCACUUUAACUUGUGGAUAUAUAAAAAAACAAAAGAAAAAAAAAAUCAGUGGGACUCCUGUCUGCUCUUCCACUAAUUGAUUUAAAUGAAAACUGACUUUAUUGGUUGAUAAUCAAUAUGGAGUUGAGAAGGCAGUACCCCAGGGUUUAGGAUUUGAGCAAUAUCAUUUUUGUGAUUUGCCUUUGGCCUUCUUUUAUGUUACUGAAACACGACUGUUUAAAAUAAAUCUUUGUGAAUUGAAGAAGCAUUUUAUUUCUUAUCCUGAAUAAAAAAAAAUAUUACUGUAAUAGACCCCAUGGCUUUCUCCUAGACAUAUAAAAAAGUUUGAAUUUAAGACAUAAAGUGGUUCAAGUGGUUUUCUAGGGCUGCCAUAACAAAUUACUACAAAUUUGGUUUAAAACAACAGAAAUGUAUUGUCCUACAGUUACGGAGACCAG
rnacentral:lncRNA from 1 species